ensembl:lncRNA
GAAACAUGAUAACCAUCUUCACCUGUGGAGAUACUGUAGUGUGAAGUGUCCUAUUUGAAGGAACGGUUGGCCCUCUAGAGCUCCUUCCAUCUUUAAAUUCAAUGAAAUUUUAGCAUUUGUUCUAAUUUUUAAAGUAUCUUAUCUCUUUCCCAACUUUUCCACCCUUACCCUUACAUUAACCCAAUUAUUUGUGAAUUUUCUUACUUUUUAGUAUCUGACCAAGAGGAUACCACAAAACCCAAGGUAUCAGCAUGUCAAGUCAAGACUAGACACUGGUGCCUGAGUGUAUCUUACCAGCUCCCCAGCAUUGCCAGACUGUGCCAUGAAUGGAUUAUGCUUCCGAUGAAAUCCCUGACGGCGUUUUGUUCAGUCUCCACCGCAGGGUUCUUGUGUAUUCUCAAGCACCCUCUCUGGGUUUCUGCUCUGUAGCACUGCAGGCUGAUUAACUUUCCAAACCACAGGGCUCUCCCUUUGUUAGUCUCCUACACUCUUUCAUUGCUGGCAUUAUUCUCUCAUUUCAAUCUAUAUUCAAUCUAAUUUCAAAUUUCUUUAGCUUUCUAAAAUUCUGUAGACUAUCUCCAUUCAGUCUUUUCUAGCCUUUUUUUAUUUUUUAGAAAUUCACCUUAGUUUUCUUAUCUCCAUACAAACUGGUCAUUUCCUUUUUUCUUCUUAGUCUUUACUUUUCCUGAAUAUCUGCUAAUAACCUUGAUCUUAAGCACUCAAACUCAUUAUAGACUAAGUACUCUUCAUUUUUAUUUGGUAUUUAAUUCUGUUUCUUAUGUCAAAGGAAGAAAUGUAUGUGAAAGCCUUUUACAAACCAGAAAGCACUAUGCACUCGUAUAACUUAUUGAGAUUAACAAAGGACCACUGUGCCUCUUUUCAAGCUUUCUGCUCCUUCUGAGCCAAAAGAACUUCUCCGUAGAGGAGGGAAAUAUUGAAGAAAAAUAAAGCAAUGGAAUUGUCUCUUAGCAACUGAGUUCGUGCCUUAUAAAUCUUACCCACUUUAGAUUACUGCUGCUCAAAAUCACUUGCUUUUCUUACUGGCUCAGUUCAAAUAAUGUUAUUAAAUUAUAGGAAAACAAAGGAAAAAAUCUAAUGAAUGAGUCACUCAGUUCGUCGAUUGUGCUCUCUUUGCUUAGCACUAUUGAUAUAGUUGAGUUGUGUCUUUCUCUUGAUUCCAGUUGUAAAACUUUUUUAUAUAUCUUUUGUUGCAACUUAAAUUAUAAACUAAGUAGAAGCUAAAUACCAUCUUAUACAUUUCUAGGUUACCUGAGUCCUGAAACAAUAUAGGUCAUUUAAGUAGUAUGUAACAUAUAUGUACUAUAUGUAAAUCAGGUUGGGCAUAGCUUAGAGAAAAUCAGGUAUCCAAAAACUCAAACCAAAUUGGGGUGUGAUUAUUUACAUUAUAAUAUAAUUCAUUAUAAGGAUUCUUCAGCUAGUAGAUCUUCAUAGUAUUUUUCAUUUAGCAAAUAUUUUUGAGUGCCUCCUAUGCUAGACAAUGGAAAGGAUAAAGAUUGUGUGUGUGUGUGUGUGUGUGUGUGUGUGUGUAAAUAGUUGUUUUGGGCUGUCAGUAUAAUAAGAUAGAUAAGACUUGCGCACAAAUAAGGCAGUACAAUGAUAAAUGCCUUGUGAGUGGUAAGCCGAGUGCUGUAGAAGUUCAGAGGAGGGAAAGGUCACUUCCAGCUGGGUGAGCUAUUAUGAUUACAUGGGCAAGGUGACAUGUCAGAGAACCAAAGACUAACAGAGAGUUUGUCAAGUUUAGUAAUUAAGGCAAGAUUGAAGAGGUAGGUAAGAUGUUGGUGCCUUCACGAGUAGAGCAAGGAGUUUAAACUUCAGCCAGUAAGUGAUGGGGAGCCGCUGACUUUUUUUAAUCAAAGUAUUGUCUAGGAAAAUGUAUCUGGCAGUAAUGUGUAAUUUUAAUUUAAAAAAAUUAGUCUGUUGAUAGUCUUUUAGGGUGCCUUACUUUUGUGUAAAACAAAAAUGUGUUUAUAAAUAAGUCAAUUAUAGAAUUGAUUCAUUUGUAUUCUUUUUAAAAGGUAGUCAAAAAACUAUUCUCAGAUGAAAUUAGAUCCAGUAAGAUGAGCUGCUUAGUUAAGAUAUAAGCAGUAUAUGAAGUGGGAUAAAAUACUACUUUUCAUACUUUCUAAACUCAUUUUUAGAGAUUUUUUUGUGUCAGUCAUUUCUCCAAUUGAAGCAAUGCAGAAAUCCUCCAUAUUCUUUCCACCCCCCUCUACUUGGAUAGAAUGAAUGGCUGUAAUGAAAAGAACUUCUUAUCAAUAGCCCUCUUAGAUUUAUUCUUAAUUUAGCCAAGUAUUUGUACACCUCUGCAAAAGAUUUUGUUUCUCUGCCUUCUCCUUUAGUGGGAAAAAUAAUCAGUAGGAAUGACAACCUACCUCACAGGGUCGUUGUGAGGCUCUGCUGGUAUGAAGAUGAAGUGUUGUGUAAAUACACCGAAAAUGUUGAUAACUGACUGAGAAAUGGAUUUUAGACAUGUUGUUAGUGGAAACUGCUAUAGAUUGGAAAUGCAAUGUUUUAAUAAUAAAGACUAUAUAAUAAGGUUGGCUAUUGUUUUCCGUUCAUAGUAUGCCUCAGGGAAUUUAGAGCAUAAAAUGGUUCCCACCCAAUACUAUAAAGGAAGUAACACUUCCUACAUAUUUACCUCACAGUGAAAUCAUGUUUUUAAAACAGCACAGCCAGAGAAUGAUAUGUUUUUGUGAGCCAUAUUAGAAACCAGGAGGUUGGGAGUACUAAUCUUGACUUAGUUACCAACUUGCUGUGUCACUGGACAAGUCAGUGAUCCUUUUUGUACCUCAGUUUUUUGACGAUUCUGGAAGGAGGCGUAAAGCUUCUCCAGCCAAAAGAAACCAACUGCCACAUCAACAGCCUGGCACUGUAAGGGACUCAGGAACAUAUAACCAGAAGCUCCUACGUAAAAUAGUUUAAGAAUAAGACUGUAGGACGCUGAACAGCGCACCAUUUGCCCUGUCUUCUAACCCCAGUACUGACCAGUCGAGUUCCCGUCCAAGUGCAGAGUUGCAGGGAAGAGGAUGUGAGUCUGGGAAGGAUUCAUGGUUUCCACUGUGGAGAUCUGGUCACAUCUCAGGUCCAUUAUAGCCUGAAGAACCUAGAAAAGAUCAUGUUUUGUUCUAAUCUUGGUCUUUGGUGCUAUUUGGACUUCUUCUGAGAUGUUCUCAGUGUCUGUCUUGAGGAGCCUCAGCUUCUGAGCAGCCCUGACUACUGUCAUGUCUCUCUGAGCUUUUGGAAGGAUACGGUCUGGGUCCAGGACUACACUGAGUCCUGCUUUUUGGUUCUGAUUUGGGGACUGUGUGUCUUCAGACGAAAAAAAAAUUUUAACUCAGUAGAAUUUUAUUCUAUAAUGAAUUCAUGACAAGGACUUAAUAAUAACAAAUGAUAUAAGUUGUUUUUUGAAAAUGUACUUUGGGUUUUAGAGCAAGGAUUUUCUUUCUCUGCUUCUGACCUAAACAUGAAGAAAAGUUCAGAAUAGUGCUUGAAAACAUCAGUUCAUGCCAUUAAUUGGAAGCAUUUCUUUUACCUGAAGUUGUGACUGAAACUGACUAGCUCCUCUCAAGGCUUAAAAGUUAGGAGCACAAUUUUAGAAAUGAGAAAUUAUUCUGAAUGUUUUCCUCUUUUGCUAUACCUUUCAGGUGCCAGAUAGAGCUUGCUGUGCUGAAUUGAAUCAAAUUGAAGCAUGCCUAGUAAAAAAUAAUAGCCCCUGGCUUGAGAAGCAGACUUUAGUUCAUUCGGAAACCAGAAGGAUCCUGGCCCAGUUUUAAUGCAUGAAAACUCUCCAAACCACCUUGGCUAGAGCCUAGUGUU